UAGUUUCUAUUGAUCUUGAUAAUGGGGUUUGGAAAAGAUCAAAUUUUGAGCUUCCUAGUGAGGUUACUUUUGCUAGAUUGGUGAGUGAUGGGGAUAAAAAAUUGUUCUUGAUUAGUGGAAAUGGGAGUAAUGGGAUUUCAAGAAGCAUGAAGUUGUGGGAAUUGAAUGGGGAUUCUAAGAUUUGGAUUGAAGUUGAGAAUGUGCCUGAAUUGAUUUGUAGGAAGUUUUUAUCUGUUUGUUAUCAUAACUAUGAACAUGUUUAUUGUUUUUGGCAUAAAGG
rnacentral:misc_RNA from 1 species